rnacentral:rRNA from 1 species
UACGGGGGGAGCAAGCGUUGUUCGGAUUUACUGGGCGUAAAGCGCGCGCAGGCGGCCCUUUAAGUCUACCCGUGAAAUGCCGGAGCUCAACUCCGUGCACGCCGGGGGAUACUGGAGGGCUGGAGACGAGUAGAGGCAAGCGGAAUUCCGGGUGUAGCGGUGGAAUGCGUAGAGAUCCGGAAGAACACCGGAGGCGAAGGCGGCUUGCUGGGCUUGGUCUGACGCUGAGGCGCGAAAGCGUGGGGAGCGAACAGG